UCUCCGUUGGUGAACCAGCGGAGGGAUCAUUACCGAGUUUACAACUCCCAAACCCCUGUGAACAUACCUAUCGUUGCCUCGGCGGUGCCCGCUCCGGCGGCCCGCCAGAGGACCCCCAAACUCUUGUUUUAUACAAUAUCUUCUGAGUAACACGAUUAAAUAAAUCAAAACUUUCAACAACGGAUCUCUUGGUUCUG
rnacentral:misc_RNA from 1 species